rnacentral:rRNA from 1 species
GAUGAACGCUGGCGGCGUGCUUAACACAUGCAAGUCGAACGAAGCACUUUAUUUGAUUUUCUUCGGAAAUGAAGAUUUUGUGACUGAGUGGCGGACGGGUGAGUAACGCGUGGAUAACCUGCCUCAUACAGGGGGAUAACAGCCGGAAACGGCUGCUAAUACCGCAUAAGCGCACGGUACCGCAUGGUACAGUGUGAAAAACUCCGGUGGUAUGGGAUGGAUCCGCGUCUGAUUAGCCAGUUGGCGGGGUAACGGCCCACCAAAGCGACGAUCAGUAGCCGACCUGAGAGGGUGACCGGCCACAUUGGGACUGAGACACGGCCCAAACUCCUACGGGAGGCAGCAGUGGGGAAUAUUGCACAAUGGGGGAAACCCUGAUGCAGCGACGCCGCGUGAGCGAAGAAGUAUUUCGGUAUGUAAAGCUCUAUCAGCAGGGAAGAAGAAAUGACGGUACCUGAUUAAGAAGCCCCGGCUAACUACGUG